GGCGGGAUGCGGCGGUGCCGGGCGGCGGCGCUGGCGGGGCUGGCCGCGGUGCUCCUGGCAGCUGUGGGCAGAGCCCAGGUGCAGCAGGACCCGUCGGCAGAGACCACCGAGGGCACCGCCAUCAGCAUUAACUGCUCACACCCCAACAAACAGUCAAACGAGUUCAUCCACUGGUACCGUCAACUCCCAGGCCGCGGCCCCGCAUUCCUCGUGAGCGCUCUUCAAGGGUCCAAAGAGGUGCUGGACCCGCCGGGGCGGCUGUCGGUGGCGGCAGACCGCCGGUCCAGCGCCCUGUGGCUCGCCCGGCCCCGGCUCGGCGACGCGGCGGUGUAUUACUGCGGCCAGGACACACGGCGAGAGGAGCCGGGGCUGCGGCCGAGCACGAACCGCCGCGGGCGGGGCCGGGCGCGUGUGUCGGGGGCGCGGGACAGCUCCGGCCGGGCCCGCCAGGCGGCGCUGCUGCUCCGCCCGGCACCGGCAUCGGGCCCCUCGAGGCCCCGCAUCCCCGGCGCAUCCUCCCGACGCGGCUCCGGAGACGCGCUCCGGGCAGAAACCUGUUUCCGUUCCUCACUCCCUGCUCAGCCACACAGUCCCACCGGGGCGCAGACUGAAAUCCCCUCGAUAGUGCUGAUGAGGGAGGAAUCGCGAUAGGAGCGGUGGCAGCCAAGAACAACAACUUCCUCCUGGCCUGGAUCAGAAAUAGUGUGGCCCGGAGGACCAGGGAAGCGAUCGUCCCUGUGUACUGGCCUCUGGCAGAGAGUGGUGGUGGCUGGUCUCUUCUCCCAGGUAACGAGUGAUAGGGCAGGAGGAAAUGGCCUCGAGCUGCACCAGGGGAGAUUUAGACUGAAGAUUAGGAACAGUUUCUUCCCCAAAGGGUGCUCAGGCAUUGGAACAGGCUGCCCAGGGCAGUGGUGGGAUCAUCAAUCAUCCCUGGAAGUGUUCACAAACCAUGCAGAUGAGGUCCUCAGUGACAUGGGGUAGUGGUGGCCUUGGCAGUGCUGGGGAAUGGUUGGACUUGAUGAUCUUUAAGGUCUUUUCCAAUCCAGUUGAUU